rnacentral:rRNA from 1 species
UACGAAGGGGGCUAGCGUUGCUCGGAAUCACUGGGCGUAAAGCGCACGUAGGCGGCUCUUUAAGUCAGAGGUGAAAUCCUGGAGCUCAACUCCAGAACUGCCUUUGAUACUGGAGAGCUUGAGUCCGGGAGAGGUGAGUGGAACUGCGAGUGUAGAGGUGAAAUUCGUAGAUAUUCGCAAGAACACCAGUGGCGAAGGCGGCUCACUGGCCCGGUACUGACGCUGAGGUGCGAAAGCGUGGGGAGCAAACAGG